UACGUAGGGGGCAAGCGUUGUCCGGAAUCAUUGGGCGUAAAGCGCGCGUAGGCGGCCCUGUAAGUCCGUUGUGAAAGUCAAAGGCUCAACCUUUGAAAGCCGAUGGAUACUGCAGGGCUAGAGUCCGGAAGAGGAGAGUGGAAUUCCUGGUGUAGCGGUGAAAUGCGCAGAUAUCAGGAAGAACACCAAUGGCGAAGGCAGCUCUCUGGGACGGUACUGACGCUGAGACGCGAAAGCGUGGGGAGCGAACAGG
rnacentral:rRNA from 1 species